AACGCACAUUGCGCCCCUUGGUAUUCCGAGGGGCAUGCCUGUUCGAGCGUCAUUAUAACCACUCAAGCCUAGCUUGGUAUUGGGGUUCGCGUGCCCGCGGCCCUUAAAAUCAGUGGCGGUGCCGUCUGGCUCUAAGCGUAGUAAUUCUCUCGCUAUAGAGUCCUGGCGGUUACUUGCCAGAACCUCCCCACAUUCUUAGGUUGACCUCGGAUCAGGUAGGGAUACCCGCUGAACUUAA
rnacentral:misc_RNA from 1 species